rnacentral:ncRNA from 1 species
AAUAACCCGAUGAAAGAGCGAAGUAGCAAUGUUGUCACUGUUCUCAGAAAGCCAGGGGUUGAUGCGACCUGGUACACACAAUGAAUUGCGAAUUACACUCUGGAGGUUCUUAGGUAACGCUAAGCGGAUUGGCAAUCGAUAUCAUUGCCGAGAGUGGUAUGAAUAGUGGCUGCAGCACUGUUCAUGCAAGCUGGGUGGUAACACGGUUAAUUAAUCGUCCCUAUG